rnacentral:lncRNA from 1 species
AACAAUACUGUUUUUGGCUUGAAUUCAAUGAAGUUGGUUGGUUUUGUGAGUGUAAGGCGGGUGCCCGAACUGUGGGAUGUUAUGUCCAUGUAGCUACGAUAUUGUGAUACAUGGGACAUGCCAGACAUACAGAUAAUAAAACAAAGACAAACAGAUAUUCCAAUGCAUUCAAAGAUGCCAGUGUAGACAUUGAAACAGAGACCG